AGCGAACGCUGGCGGCAGGCCUGACACAUGCAAGUCGAACGAACUCUUCCGAGUUAGUGGCGGACGGGUGAGUAACACGUGGGAACGUGCCUUUAGGUUCGGAAUAACUCAGGGAAACUUGUGCUAAUACCGAAUGUGCCCUUCGGGGGAAAGAUUUAUCGCCUUUAGAGCGGCCCGCGUCUGAUUAGCUAGUUGGUGAGGUAAUGGCUCACCAAGGCUACGAUCAGUAGCUGGUCUGAGAGGACGACCAGCCACAUUGGGACUGAGACACGGCCCAAACUCCUACGGGAGGCAGCAGUGGGGAAUCUUGCGCAAUGGGCGAAAGCCUGACGCAGCCAUGCCGCGUGGAUGAUGAAGGUCUUAGGAUUGUAAAAUCCUUUCACCGGUGAAGAUAAUGACUGUAGCCGGAGAAGAAGCCCCGGCUAACUUCGUGCCAGCCGCCGCGGUAACAC
rnacentral:rRNA from 1 species